rnacentral:rRNA from 1 species
UACGUAGGGGGCAAGCGUUGUCCGGAAUUAUUGGGCGUAAAGAGCGCGUAGGCGGUCCGAUAAGUCGGCUGUGAAAGUCAUGGGCUCAACCCAUGAAAGCCGGCCGAUACUGUCGGACUAGAGUCCGGAAGAGGCGAGUGGAAUUCCCGGUGUAGCGGUGAAAUGCGCAGAUAUCAGGAGGAACACCGAUGGCGAAGGCAGGUCUCUGGGCAUUAACUGACGCUGAGGAGCGAAAGCAUGGGGAGCGAACAGG